AUAUACUGUAUCUUGUGGGUGAUGUCAGCUGUGCGCCUCUCAUUCCUGCAGGUUACUAACAGUGAGGUCAUCACAGCCCACAGAAAUCUCGACAUACAAGGAUAGCAAUGUCCCUGCAUGCACACACACACAAGCUUGCACUGAGACACACAUGACUCAAUUUGGCAGACGGAUGGACGUCCACAGUCGUACGUACACACACAUGCUGGCUGUCAGUGAGCUGAAUGUUCACACAGACACCUACAACAUACAGUAUAUGCACCUUCACACACGUCACACAAACGCACACUUGUACUGUAUAUGCCCACACCCUCAUUGUUUGGUAGAUGUACGAACAUUUUUCUUAUUUAGUUCACAAAGUCAUUGGCGCAGACAUGCCUACACGCACACACACACACACACUCAAAUAAGACUUGAUGAAAAGUGACAAGACAUGUCCGAACGUCCUAUGACAGCCAGCCUCGUCUCAUUCUAUUUUCUCUCCUGAUCUUUUUCUUUGUCAUAGAUUUAUCAGCAGAAUUUGCACCUAUGUUUUAGAGUUUAUUAGCAGGGAAAACAUGAUUCCAGCCAUUUUAGCCCUCAGUCAGACUUUGUGGUCUAGAGGAAUGAUUUUUUUGACUACAGUGAAAGAGUUUUAUUUUGUCAUUUUACUGUCAUGGAGAUGAACCCACAGAUGAACCAAAGGGGUCAAGGUUGUGCUGGUUUGGAUGGCCUAGUUCAUCCCCUGCUGGCAAGAUUCCUGCAACUAUGAGGGUCCACGACAAUUGUGAAAAUAUAAAAGA